CUCACAUUUGUUGUUCUGCAGCGCUGAGGAGUGUAAACAGGUGUGCUGGGCCAUCAGAGAGUUCACCAGACUGUUCCGAUAGCUGCAGCCUUCUCGCACCGCCAGGUAAAUCUUUUUGUUGACGAGCAUUCAGAGGUGACGGCAAUAAUCUGCGUCUGCAGACGAGGAUCCAAAGGGAUGAAGAUGAUGAAGGACUUCGAAUGUGAACAGGGCGGCUCACUCUGAAGGACUGACAGAUUGAAGACUGAUUGGACAGAAUGAGUCCACCCCAGCUCACCUGAACUCACCUGACCUCACCUGCAGCAGGUGGUGAGUGGGCGGGGCUGGGUCCGGCAGGUGGGCGGGGUCAGGAAGCUGCGGUCGUGAAUCGGAGGAUGUGCCUGGUCAACAGUUUUUAGAGAUUUAUUUUUGGACUUUGGUCGUGGUGGGGUUUUUUUGUUUUUUUGUUUUUUUUUUGUCCGUGCCAUAAAAGGAGCCAAAAGAUUUUCCAUGAUGCUCUUGGCUGCAGCGUGCUGCGGGAGGAUUUGGCGUCACCUUUGACCUUUUUAACUUUGGUUGAAUUUUAGUUGUUCUUCCACAAAGUGAAACAGAGUGAACUCUGGGUAAUGAGGCGGAGAGACUGACACCAUGACAUCAUCGGUGAUGUAGCCUUGUUGUAAACAAAUUAAAAAAAAAAAAACUGCUCA